UCUGUUGCCGCCUGCGCUGCGCGGUGUGCGAGGCCGCCGCCGAGCCCCCUCGUCGGCUGUGACCCCCGCUCGCGGGCGUGGGACGUGGGUGGAAAACGGGCCCCCUUCCUCCCGCGGGGCUCCGAGCGGCGGCCGCGCUCCCGCGAGCCUGCCGAGCCGCUGCGGGCCGGGGUCCGCUCGGAGGGCGGGGGCUGCCGGAGCGCCCGGCGUCGCGGUCGCGUCCCGGCCCCGAGCCCCGGCGCCCCUUGAGGUCUCUCUUUCCCCUGUUGUGCAGGUUCGCUUGCGGCGUCAUGGCUCAGAGGGCCUUUCCGAAUCCUUACGCCGAUUAUAACAAGUCCCUGGCCGAAGGCUACUUCGACUCCUCCGGGAGGCUGACUCCUGAGUUCUCACAGCGCUUGACCAACAAGAUUCGAGAGCUCCUCCAGCAGAUGGAGAGAGGCCUGAAGUCAGCAGACUCUCGGGAUGGCAGUGGGUAUACCGGCUGGACAGGCAUUGCUGUGCUUUACCUCCAUCUCUAUGAUGUGUUUGGGGACCCUGCCUACCUGCAGAUGGCACAUGGCUAUGUAAAGCAAAGCCUAAACUGCUUGAGCAAGCGGUCCAUCACCUUCCUGUGUGGCGACGCAGGCCCCCUGGCCGUGGCUGCUGUGCUGUAUCACAAGAUGAACAGUGAGAAGCAGGCAGAGGACUGCAUCACACGGCUCAUUCACCUGAGUAAGAUUGACCCCCAUUCACCAAAUGAAAUGCUCUAUGGACGCAUAGGCUACAUCUUUGCUCUUCUUUUUGUCAAUAAGAACUUUGGAGAGGAGAAGAUUCCUCAGAGCCAUAUCCAGCAGGUUUGUGAAGCAAUCUUAACAUCUGGAGAAAAACUGUCUAGAAAGAGAAACUUCACAGCAAAGUCUCCACUGAUGUACGAGUGGUACCAGGAAUAUUACGUGGGGGCUGCGCAUGGCCUGGCGGGGAUUUAUUACUACCUGAUGCAGCCCAGCCUUCAGGUGAGCCAAGGAAAGUUACACAGUUUGGUGAAGCCCAGUGUAGACUUUGUCUGCCAGCUGAAGUUCCCUUCUGGCAAUUAUCCUCCAUGUUUGGAUGACACCAGAGACCUGCUUGUCCACUGGUGCCACGGUGCCCCUGGGGUCAUCUACAUGCUCAUCCAAGCCUACAAGGUGUUCAAAGAGGAGCAGUACCUGCAUGACGCCUACCGGUGUGCUGACGUGGUGUGGCAGUACGGGCUGCUGAAGAAGGGCUACGGGCUAUGCCACGGUGCUGCAGGGAAUGCCUACGCGUUCCUGGCACUCUACAACCUCACGCAAGAUGUGAAGUACCUGUACAGGGCCUGCAAGUUUGCUGAGUGGUGUUUAGACUAUGGAGAACACGGAUGCAGGACACCAGACACCCCCUUCUCGCUCUUCGAAGGGAUGGCUGGAACAAUAUAUUUCCUGGCUGACCUGUUAGUCCCCACGAAGGCCAAGUUCCCUGCAUUUGAACUCUGAAAGGAAAGCAUGUCUCCUGUGCUUACAGAGUGCCUCUCUGUGUGUUCCUCUGGGCUAAGUGUCUCCGUUGCUUUUGAAGGAAGCAAAAUGAAACUGUGUACUUGUUGUGGCCGGGCUUUUAUUUAGCAGUCAGCGCCUUCCUUUUAUUACUUGCUUUAUUUAAAGGUGUAUAUGAAAGCCAUCUUAACUAUCUUCCAAAGAGAAGGAUGCAUGACAAGUACAUUAUUUUUUGUGGCCAUUUACAUGUAUUUCCAGACUUGGGAGGACAUCUCACUCUUAUUUAAGUUCUUUCUAGAAACUCACUGGUAAGCCAUCCCUGGUAACAUGUUAUCCCAGCUACUGAAGAGACUAAGGCAGGACGAUCACAAGUUCAAGACCAACCUGGGCAACUCAGUGAGACUGUUUCUAAGUAAAGAGAAGAGAGAGAUGUGGGAUUAGCGGAGUGGCAGAACACUUUUCUAGCAUGCAAAAAGCCCUGGGUUCUGUCCCCAGCUCACACAUACACAUAACACUACAUAUAGUGCAGAUACAUGAUUAUGUGUAGAUUGCCAUCACCUUCCAUCGCUUCUGUUGAAUCUUUUUCCUCCAACAGAGAGUAGUUUUAUGACUUGGUUUUCUCAAGUGGUUGAUUAUUAAAGGGGACAAGAAUGCAGUAAGCCAUGCUUCUGGAAGAAAAACCGCAAGAAUUACCAAUUAGACUUGGGGCCUAAAUGUUGUGUUUUAAAUUCCUAGUUUUUUUAUAAACCAGAAAUACCAGUUUGAAUGAGCCAAACAGGCACUGUAUUCCAGCAAUAUUAUCAAAACUUAAAUUGAUUGUGAUGCACAUUCUGAUCUUGAAGCUAAUUCACCAACAAUAGCUCCUUGUUUUCUGUUAUAUGCCAGAAAUGUUUAUUUUAAAAGUGUUUGUCCUUCAGUGUUCAUAUGAGAUCCAGAAGUAGAUGUUCUGUGUGAAUUUGCUGAGACAGGACUGCAGCCUGACCUUUGGCUGACCUUCAGAUGUUUGGCCUAGAUUUUCCUUGCUUUUCGCUGACUGCUUGAGUGCCACGUGUCAUCCCUUCCUGUCAAUUGAUUUGAACAUUGAUCUUUUCGCUAAGUAGUACAGAAUCUAAUUCUGCUUACACAGCAGGUGGAAAGGGAGAUGCUGUGAGUAAUAGCUUCUGAGAGAACACAGAAUUCUUACUCCUGGAAGCACCGGAUGUUACAGCCUUCAUGCUUGUAACACAUGAGUCUUUGCACAUCCCAGGAGCAACAGUCGUCAGAUUCUGAGACCACGGAGCCAGGUUUGUUAGUACAUGAAGGCUCCCUGGUGCUUCAAAUUCCAAACAAAUGCUUUUUGACGCCUCAGCUCCUCCCUCCCUCCACCAUUAUCACAUACCUAUCCAAAUUCUAGGCAGUUGACUUGGGAACAUUUUCCACCUUUAAAAUAACAGGGUCUGAGAAUAUUUAAUGUGCUAUUUUAUGGCUCUCUUGAUCGUACUAUUUUUGUUGGAAAUUGAAUCCCCUUGGAGUGUGUGCUGGUUGCUAUGAGGAAUAAUCCCAUUAUUUUCUGUUUGGUACCAAGAUAGCUAAUAUGGGAAAUUCCCUAGCCCUUUAAAGGCUACCUACAGUAGGAUUCAACUUGCAGCCCAGUGCUUAAUUCUCAGGAUUGGGUUGCUCCUUCUGUGACCCCUGUACAUAGGGACUUGUGCAUCUUCGCCCUCUGAAGUGCUGCUGGAAGCUGUGUGUAAAGUGCCUGGUGAAGGCUGUGCACUGACGGGGCCAGAAUGUCUACUGUAGGUACUUAUUAAAAGAAAAAGAACAAGUAUUUUGAUCAGUCAAGAGACUUGAUCACAGUGCUUCCCCGGCAUCCUGAUCAGUGGAGCCCCAGAAGGAACUCAAAGAAGGAAGAAUGUUUUGAGGACCAUCCUUGUUGGUAUCCGAGCAGCCUUCAACAUACUGACAUCCAUUAACAGACCCAUCGGCACCAACAGUUCGGCUUUCUGUCUUCACUGUAGCUUUUUAAAACUCCUUACACUGACAACAUAUUUAUGCCACUGUUGACUGACGCGUAAAAGCUAGGAGAGUUUUCUGAGGGUUUUAAACUCGGGUAGAAACAAAGCUCACACCGAUGCCUCCCCUCCGAGGUAGAGGCCGCAAGAAACACUUUGACUGCAGAUUGUGUGGGAGCACCAUUGUUGCUUUCAUUCUUUGACGUUUUUCGCUUGGAUGUUUUUCUUCUCGGUUUAAAAACCUUCCAGAGGUUGCUUCAGGAAGAUUUGGUGGCAUUGCUAAUCUCUCUACAGAGACUGUGUAGUGAAAUGUUGAGAGGCUGUCAGGCCCUUCUGUAAGAUAUCAACAUUGCCAUGACCGUUUCUGUAGAUCCCACCAGGUGUUCAUUUCAUUCCAGCUGUCAGUCUUCCAUCCUUAGAGUCAUCUGGUUUCCUUUUCAUCAUUCCUGUCACAUCCGUUUGACGGCAGAAGCCCCCCUGUAGGUAGAGUUAGAUCAAAGGGGAUCUAAGGGUAUUUUUUCUCCUUUUUCCCAUUUCCCUGAGUAACUAUAUUGUAGCACUCCACUCCUCUAUCCUCAGGUCAGUUUGUAUCUGUUUGGGCGGUGCCCUUACCUUCUGUCACCUAACUUUGAAAUAAACUGUAAGCGGGAACGUUUAUUUAUAGACUCUUAGGCUCCUAGAACUCAGGUGUAGUCCUUGCUUACUCAUUUUUAAUUCCAAUUCCUUUUCUGCUCCCUGAAAACAGUCAGAGCAGGUUUCUGAGUGUUCUGUACCACUGGGCUGUAGGGGAACUGUUUACAGCUGGUGAGCAGGAGUCAGUGUGGAGGACAUCGAAGAAUCAUCCCAGGUUCAUUGUCCCUUGCUGGGAACAGAUGUGUAUGUUAUGAAAAGGAUUUGUCUGGAUGGUUUUCAAUAAAAUGCUAUUAGGCCUGA